rnacentral:misc_RNA from 1 species
GUAGGUGAACCUGCGGAAGGAUCAUUAUUGAGUUAGGGUCCUUGUGGCCCGAACCUCCAACCCUUUGUUUACAUACCUGUUGCUUUGGCGGGGCGUGGGCUUCUGCCUACCGUCGACCCAGGCCGGCGAGUCUCCGCCAGAGACCAACUAAACUCAUUUUAAUAUUGAAGUCUGAGUGAAAACACAAUAGCAAAAAACUUUCAACAACGGAUCUCUUGGUUCUC